rnacentral:rRNA from 1 species
CAAUAGCGUAUAUUAAAGUUGUUGCAGUUAAAAAGCUCGUAGUUGGAUUUCUGGCGGGAGCGGGUGGUCCGGCACUUUGUGUUGGUACUUUCCUGUCUCUUGCCAUCCUUGGGUCUAAGCUGUCUGGCAUUUAGUUGUCGGGCAGUGGCUGCCCAUCGUUUACUGUGAAAAAAUUAGAGUGUUCAAAGCAGGCUUAUGCCGUUGAAUAUAUUAGCAUGGAAUAAUAAGAUAGGACCUUGGUACUAUUUUGUUGGUUUGCGCACCGAGGUAAUGAUUAAGAGGGACAGUUGGGGGUAUCGUAUUCAAUUGUCAGAGGUGAAAUUCUUGGAUUUCUGGAAGACGAACUACUGCGAAAGCAUUUACCAAGGAUGUUUUCAUUAAUCAAGAACGAAAGUUAGGGGAUCGAAGAUGAUUAGAUACCA